UGAAAGCGGCCCAUCACAA
rnacentral:misc_RNA from 1 species